AUUGAACGCUGGCGGCAGGCUUAACACAUGCAAGUCGAGCGAGCGGCGGACGGGUGAGUAAUGUCUGGGAAACUGCCUGAUGAGGGGGGAUAACUACUGGAAACGGUAGCUAAUACCGCAUACCAUCAGGUGAGCCCAGAUGGGAUUAGCUAGUAGGUGGGGUAAUGGCUCACCGAGGCGACGAUCCCUAGCUGGUCUGAGAGGAUGACCAGCCACACUGGAACUGAGACACGGUCCAGACUCCUACGGGAGUCAGCAGUGGGGAAUAUUGCACAAUGGGCGCAAGCCUGAGGCAGACAUGCCGCGUGUGUGAAGAAGGCCUUCGGGUUGUAAAGUACUUUCAGCGAGGAGGCGUUACUCGCAGAAGAAGCACCGGCUAACUCCGUGCCAACAGCCGCGGUAAUAC
rnacentral:rRNA from 1 species